AUUUGAAAUCUGGUACCUUCGGUGCCCGAGUUGUAAUUUGGAGAGGGCAACUUUGGGGCCGUUCCUUGUCUAUGUUCCUUGGAACAGGACGUCAUAGAGGGUGAGAAUCCCGUGUGGCGAGGAGUGCGGUUCUUUGUAAAGUGCCUUCGAAGAGUCGAGUUGUUUGGGAAUGCAGCUCUAAGUGGGUGGUAAAUUCCAUCUAAAGCUAAAUAUUGGCGAGAGACCGAUAGCGAACAAGUACAGUGAUGGAAAGAUGAAAAGAACUUUGAAAAGAGAGUGAAAAAGUACGUGAAAUUGUUGAAAGGGAAGGGCAUUUGAUCAGACAUGGUGUUUUGUGCCCUCUGCUCCUUGUGGGUGGGGGAAUCUCGCAUUUCACUGGGCCAGCAUCAGUUUUGGUGGCAGGAUAAAUCCAUAGGAAUGUAGCUUGCCUCGGUAAGUAUUAUAGCCUGUGGGAAUACUGCCAGCUGGGACUGAGGACUGCGACGUAAGUCAAGGAUGCUGGCAUAAUGGUUAUAUGCCGCCCGU
rnacentral:rRNA from 1 species